rnacentral:rRNA from 1 species
ACUCUCGGCAACAGAUAUCUAGGCUCUUCCAUUGGUGAAGAACGUAGCGAAAUGCGAUACUAGGUGUGAAUUUCAUAAUCCCGUGAACCAUCGAGUCUUUGAACGCAAGUUGAGUCCGAUGCCAUUAGGUUGAGGGCACGUCUGCCUGGGUGUCACAUAUCGAAGCCCAUUGCCGAUUUCCUACUCGUAGGUGUUGUGUUGGGUGAACGAUGGCUUCCCGUGAGCUUCUUUGUCUCAUGAUUGGUUGAAAAUUGAGACCAUGGUAGGGUGUGCCAUUAUAGAUGGUGGUUGUGUGUCGCACGAGACCAAUCAUGCGCUUCCCUAUUGAAUUUUGGCCUCUUGUACCCAUUUGCGCUUCCAAACGCUCGUGAUGAGACCUCAGGUCAGGCGGGGCUACCCGCAUAAUUUAAGCAUAUCAAUAAGCGGAGGAAAAGAAACUAACAAGGAUUCCCUUAGUAACGGCGAGCGAACCGGGAUAAGCCCACCAUGAGAAUCGGGCGCCGAAGAGGCGCUGUCGGCGAGUCGGGUUGUUUGGGAAUGCAUCCCCAAUCGGGCAAUAAAUUCCUUCCAAGGAUAAAUAUGUGUCUCGGUCGGAUGUGGAACGGUUUGUACCGGUCUGCCAAUCGACUCGGGACAUCGAUCGACGUGGAUUGUGAUGGUGGCUCAAGCAUGGGGUGUUGAAAUGCUCGCAGAGGAAGCUGAUUGGUGGGAUCCUCUUGUGGGUUGCACCGCCGGCCGACCCCGAUUUUCUGUGAAGGGUUCAAGUGAGAGCAUACCUGUCGGGACCCGAAAGAUGGUGAACUAUGCCUGAGCAGGGCGAAGCCAGAGAAAACUCUGGCGGAGGCCCGCAGCGAUACUGACGUGCAAAUCGUUCGUCUGACUUGGGUAUAGGGGCGAAAGACUAAUCGAACCGUCUAGUAGUUGGUUCCCUCCAAAGUUUCCCUCAAGAUAGCAGGAGCCCGAGGGCGAGUUCUAUCGGGUAAAGCCAAUGAUUAGAGGCAUCGGGGGCGCAACACCCUCGACCUAUUCUCAAACUUUAAAUAGGUAGGACGGUGUAGCUACUUUGUUGAGCCAUGCCAUGGAAUCGAGAGCUCCAAGUGGGCCAUUUUUGGUAAGCAGAACUGGCGAUGCGUGAUGAACCGGAAGUUGGGUUACGGUGCCCAACUGCGCGCUAACCUAGACCCACAAAGGGUGUUGGUCGAUUAAGACAGCAAGACGGUGGUCAUGGAAGUGGAAAUCCGCUAAGGAGUGUGUAACAACUCUGCUGCCGAAUCAACUAGCCCCGAAAAUGGAUGGCACUAAAGCGCGCGACCUAUACCCGGCCAUUGGGACAAGGGCCAGGCCCCGAUGAGUAGGAGGGUGCGGCGGUCGCUGCAAAACCCGGGGCGCGAGCAUGGGCGGAGCGGUCGUCGGUGCAAAUCUUGGUGUUAGUAGCAAAUAUUCAAAUGAGAACUUUGAAGGCCGAAGAGGGGAAAGGUUCCAUGUGAACGACACUUGCACAUGGGUUAGUCGAUCCUAAGGGAAGGGGGAAGCCCGUCUGAUAGCGCUCUAAGCGCGUACACCGAAAGGGAAUCGGGUUAAAAUUCCUGAACCGGGACGUGGCGGCUGACGGCAACGUUAGGGAGUCUGGAGACGUUGGCGGGGGCCCCGGAAAGAGUUAUCUUUUCUGUUUAACAGCCUGCCCACCCUGGAAACGACUUAGCCGGAGGUAGGGUCUAGUGGCUGGAAGAGCACCGCACAUCGCGUGGUGUCUAGUGCGCCCCUGGUGUCCGGUGCGCCCCGGGCAUCGAACAGUCAACUCAGAACUGGUACGGACAAGGGGAAUCCGCUUGUUUAAUUAAAACAAAGCAUUGUGAUGGUCCCUGACUAGGGAAGGCUCAUAGGCAAGUAGGCUGGCUGGCUGGCCAGCACGUAGUCACUAGUCAAGUAGGCUGGCUGGUUGGCACUCAGGCACCAGGCAAGCAGGCUGGCUGGCUAGCCAGCACCCAGUCACAAGUCCCUAGUUACCAGGCAAAGAAGCUGGCUGGCUGGCCAGCACCCAGUCACAAGUCCCUAGUCACCAGGCAAGUAGGCUAGCUGGCUGGCCAGCACCCAGUCACCAGGCAAGCAGGCUGGUUGGCUGGCCAGCACCCAGUCCCUAGUCACCAGGCAAGCAGGUUGGCUAGCUGGCCUAUACCUAGUCACCCAGUCACCAGUCCUGAGUCGCGAUUCAUGAAUCACCAGUCACGAGUUGCGAUUCACCAGCCACCAGUCACGAGUCCCCAGUCAUGAGUCGCGACUCACCAGCCCCCAGUCACCAGUCCCCAGUCCCGAGCACUACGACCACGACUACGAAGUGGGUAAAUCAAGACGCGCGCGCGACGACUACGAUUAAGACUUGGAUGUGGCGCGCGCGUGUGUUGGUUUGCUAGUUCAUGGGCGUAGCAAUAGAAUCAACUUUUUCAAUCGAAUGUGGGUAAAUCAAGACGCACGCAACGACUACGACUACAACAACGACUAAGACGUGGAGGUGGCGCACGCGCGUGUGUUGGUUUCUAGUUGAGGGGCGUAGCAACGAAAACAAUUUUUUCAAUCGGAUGUGUUGGCUUGCUAGUUGACGCCCUGACCUAGUAACAAUGGCCAGUCAGUCACAAGGCCAACACUCAGUCACCUAGUCACCCGGCAGGCUGGCUGGCCAGCACUCAGUCACCAGUCACCAGGCUGGCUGGCUGG